UAGUGGCAAUCUUGCUUAAGCUAAACAAUA
rnacentral:piRNA from 1 species